CUGUAGAUUUUGGGAACAGCGCCCUGUCAGAUUUUCUAAUUGCUUCAGAUUCAGAGUGAACAUAAAGAAAUGUCAUUUUAUUUGCUGGGUUAUUUUUAGUUCUCUCAGUAUAUGUGAUUCCUCCUGAACAACUUACCUCAAUUACCGAUGAUGCUGGGUAUCACUAAAUAUGUUUUUACUUCAACUCUCAACUAUGAAACGUUAUGUGUUGAUGGUUCACAGCUUACACCCUAAAUUAAAAGUUGUUAGCUAUUUUGUACUCAGUUUUUAAUCGAGCUGAGGCGUUUGACGACCAUACCUCCAAUACUAAGGUACAUUAAGUUCAUUCCUUGUUUGAUUAUGGUGGUUCUUCUUCUUCCAAGGCUUUUCCGAACCCAAAGCAUUCUUGAUUAUGAUCUGUAUACUUACAAAUUCGGAACAAUAUUGGGCUGCGAUCCAAGACCCAGAGGGAUGUCAUUAAAGGUAUACACUCUCAAUUUGUUUAUAUGUUGUGAAUUGAAGUACUCUCAGUAUAAACAUAUUGUUCUGUUUGAUCUGUUUCAAUGUGAAUAUCAAUGUUUCCAUAGAAAGAUCAGUUCUCGAUGAUCAGAGCGCCUGCGGAUAGAGGUAGUAAAGGCAAGAGUCUGGGCGACAAGGUUGCUGUCAUCAAGAGGUGCUCCAGCUGCGGCAAGAGCAUCAACAACCGUCUUGAUUUGCUACAGAUAGUCGGUGAUGGAGAGGCUACCCUUUUGAAUGGUCUGAAUCUGUUGGUUCAUAGGAUCUGGUCAAGGCAGCAAGUUUGCGCUCGAGAGUGAGCCAAAGAGAGCUUGCAGAGGUAGAGCCAACUGCGAAAGGGACGAAGAACUCAGAGAGAGAAGCAAUCGGCCAAAUUCGACAGCUAAAGUCUGGUAUGUCAUGGUUUGAGAUCGAGAAUUUCCUUUCUAAGGACUUAUUCCUGGAUCGGUAGCAGCAUUGAUCUUAUUGCACGUUUUCAAGGCUACUUCCAAUGGAGCAGUUCAUCAAAAUUGUAAAAUUUCAAUACUCAUUCUGCAAGGAUACUAAGAAAGGAUACUUUAUCCUUUUACAAGGAAGGCUCCAAUUCAGUUUCUGCUUUCAAGCUUGAGACGUGUUGCUCUCUAACGUUAGCUCUCAUCGAAACUUUCCACAAUUCACAUGGAAUAUUGCAGCUUGGGCAGACAACGAUGUUUGACGAAUCUGUGAAUGUCAAGCAGCUUGAGAACAUAUUGUGAUCCAUGUCAACUUCCACUAUCGGAUAGCCUAUCCGCAGCAAAGCGCGGGCACGCUUUCUAGUUUUCUUUUGUUCUUUGGUUGAUGAUAAGUGUUGUUCAAUUGAUCAAACAUGUUUAUCAGCUAUAUAUGUAUUUGAAUCUGGUAUUCAUGUUUUGGUGCAUUUUAUAUAAAAUUUAUUAUUUGGCUU